UACAUGUGGGGCAAGCGUUGUUCGGAAUUACUGGGCCUAAAGGGUGCGUAGGCGGCUUGAUAAGUCAGUGGUGAAAUCCGGUGGCCCAACCAUCGAACUGCCAUUGAUACUGUUGAGCUUGAGUGCGUGAGGGGUAACCGGAACGAGUGGUGUAGCGGUGAAAUGCGUAGAUAUCACUCGGAAGGCCAACGGCGAAGGCAGGUUACUGGUGCGCAACUGACGCUGAGGCACGAAAGCGUGGGGAGCAAACAGG
rnacentral:rRNA from 1 species